rnacentral:rRNA from 1 species
CCUACGGGAGGCAGCAGUGAGGAAUAUUGGUCAAUGGGCGCGAGUCUGAACCAGCCAAGUAGCGUGAAGGAUGACUGCCCUACGGGUUGUAAACUUCUUUUAUAAAGGAAUAAAGUGAGGCACGUGUGCCUUUUUGUAUGUACUUUAUGAAUAAGGAUCGGCUAACUCCGUGCCAGCAGCCGCGGUAAUACGGAGGAUCCGAGCGUUAUCCGGAUUUAUUGGGUUUAAAGGGAGCGUAGAUGGUUUGUUAAGUCAGUUGUGAAAUUUUGCGGCUCAACCGUAAAAUUGCAAUUGAUACUGGCAGCCUUGAGAGCAGUUGAGGUAGGCGGAAUGUAUGGUGUAGCGGUGAAAUGCUUAGAUAUCACACAGAACUCCGAUUGCGAAGGCAGCCUACUAAGCUGCCACUGACAUUGAUGCUCGAAAGUGUGGGUAUCAAACAGGAUUAGAUACCCCUGUAGUC